AUAGAGACUCAGAGCUGCAUAUCAAUAAGCGGAGGAAAAGAAACUAACAAGGAUUCCCCUAGUAACGGCGAGUGAAGCGGGAAGAGCUCAAAUUUGAAAUCUUAAAGGGUUUCCCUUUACGAAUUGUAGUUUAAAGAAGUGUUUUCUGUUGGAGUUUCGGUAAAAGUUCUUUGGAAUAGGACAUCAUAGAGGGUGAGAAUCCCGUAUUUGACCGUUACUUUCCAGCUGUGUGAUACACUUUCAAAGAGUCGGAUUGUUUGGGAAUGCAGUCCAAGAUGGGUGGUAAAUUUCAUCUAAAGCUAAAUAUUGGCGAGAGACCGAUAGCGAACAAGUACCGUGAGGGAAAGAUGAAAAGAACUUUGAAAAGAGAGUUAAACAGUACGUGAAAUUGUCAAAAGGGAAGCGUUUGACACCAGUGUUGUUUAGUUGAAAAUCAAUUCAAUAGUUUUUGAUUUCUAAGUAGUAUUGACUUCAUCAGCUUGCUGCUUUCUUCUCAGAAAUUAUUGAAUGCACUUUUCAGUUAACAAGUCAACAUCAAUUUCUUUUGUUGUAAAAGGGUAAGAGGAAGGUGGCUUGCGCUUCGGCUCAAGUGUUUAUAGCCUUUUAUCUCUGCAAUCGGAGAGAUUGAGGUCUGCAGCGUAGAUCCUUCGGGGUUAGAUACAUUGGUGCUAAGCUAUAGCCUUGUAUAGACAACUUGUUGACUAUGCUCAGUCAUGUAGCUUACUCGCUGAUGCUAUUUUACCUACGCUUAGGAUGUUGACGAGACUGUCGAUCUC
rnacentral:rRNA from 1 species